rnacentral:rRNA from 1 species
CCUACGGGCGGCAGCAGUGGGGAAUAUUGGACAAUGGGCGAAAGCCUGAUCCAGCCAUGCCGCGUGUGUGAAGAAGGCCUUCGGGUUGUAAAGCACUUUCAGUGGGGAAGAAAGCCUUGGGGCUAAUACCCUCGAGGAAGGACAUCACCCACAGAAGAAGCACCGGCUAACUCCGUGCCAGCAGCCGCGGUAAUACGGAGGGUGCGAGCGUUAAUCGGAAUUACUGGGCGUAAAGCGCGCGUAGGCGGUCUGAUAAGCCGGUUGUGAAAGCCCCGGGCUCAACCUGGGAACGGCAUCCGGAACUGUCAGGCUAGAGUGCAGGAGAGGAAGGUAGAAUUCCCGGUGUAGCGGUGAAAUGCGUAGAGAUCAGGAGGAAUACCAGUGGCGAAGGCGGCCUUCUGGACUGACACUGACGCUGAGGUGCGAAAGCGUGGGUAGCAAACAGGAUUAGAUACCCUUGUAGUC